rnacentral:rRNA from 1 species
GAGCUUGCUCUGAAGCCUACACCCUAGAACACAAAGAUAUAGUAGAAGCUUUUCUCUUACAAAUGGGCCGCUUCUUGCCAUGGGAAUGCUUGCCCCUUGUCCUGUGCGUAGUCCACUCCAUGCUUCCGAGUUCUUCAGGCUGCUUCAUGGAGGAAAGGGCGGCCCUCAUGGAAAUUAGCUCUUGGUUCAUGAGCGCAAACUCCGAGGUUCCCAGUUCGUGGGGACAUGGUGGUGAUUGCUGCUCGUGGGAAAGGAUCACGUGCGACAAUACCACACGACGAAUAUUGGGUCUCGACCUUUCCUAUCUCUACCAGGAAAUCCCUAUCCACAAUAGUAAUGGCUCUACAUCAGUUGAACCUAUGGAAGUUGCAUGCUGGAACUUGAACUUGACAAAGCUUCAGCUGUUGGAUUUCUCUCAAAAUUUUGCUUGUUUACACAAUUUCGACGGUCUACAAGGAUUGGGUAAGCUCAAGUAUCUCAACCUCAGUGACAACAGUUUCAUAGGGAAUAUCCCAGAAUCUCUCAGCAAUUUGGUUUCUCUGGAGGUCAUAAAUCUCAAGGGAAAUAACAUGAGUGGGGCUCUUCAGAAUAUAGGUUUAGAAAAUCUCCGGAACCUGCGAGAAUUGCAUUUGGGAUCCAAUCGAUUGAAUGGUAGCCUCCCAGCAUCUGUAUUUGCCCUUCCAUGCCUUGAGUACCUGGAUCUUUCAGAAAACCUCUUUGAAGGACAUAUACCUAUAAAUUCAUCUUGGAAGUGUUCCUCACUGCUUCAAACUAUCAGGUUAUCCAAAAACAAGCUAGGCGGUAAAUUUGAUUUCUUCUGGCUAAGAAACUAUACUGAUCUCAAACAGAUAGAUCUUUCCAGGAACACUGAUUUGGUUGUUCUAGUGAAAAUGCAUGGUUGGGCACCUAAAUUUCAGUUGAGAACACUAAUGCUUUCUUCGUGUAACCUUGAUAAGAGCAUGAUUACAGAGCCACAUUUCCUACACACACAACAUCGUCUACAGUUUCUUGAUUUGUCCAACAAUAAUUUGCGGGGAAGUAUGCCCAAUUUUCUGUUCACAAAUGAAGCGACACUAGUUUACCUGGAUCUUUCGAAUAACUCGUUAGUUGGAUCAUUAUACCCCAUUUGGCAAAAUCAAACUAAUCUUCGAUUGCUGAACAUAGCUCUAAACCGUAUUGAAGGACAGCUGCUUGCCAAUAUAGGUUCAAUGUUUCCCGAGCUGAUGAUUCUCAAUGUUUCUCAUAAUAAUAUAUCUGGAGUUGUGCCAUCUUCAUUGUGCAACAUUGGCAGCAUUGAACUUAUGGAUCUGUCAAAUAAUAAAUUUACUGGAGAGGUACCAUCUUGCUUGUUCACUGAUUGUUCUGCUUUGAUGAUAUUGAAGCUUUCAAACAAUAACCUCGGGGGUGUGAUACUUGAUGGGGCUAGUAACUUGUCAGUUGUGGCAGCAAUAUACCUAGACAACAACAAAUUUGAAGGGACUCUACCUAGAAAUCUGUCUGGUAAAUUCCAAAUCAUGGAUUUACAUGAUAACAAUAUGUCAGGAGCACUGGACAUUUCAUUAUGGAAUCUUCCUUCACUGGAAGCUUUGAGCCUAGCUAAAAAUAGUUUAACCGGUGACAUUCAUCCAGAAAUUUGCAAAUUAACAAGUCUUCGGCUGUUAGAUCUAUCGGACAACUAUUUUCUAGGGCUUAUACCACACUGCAGCAGUACAUUACCACUCGAGUUUCUGAGUUUAUCUGGGAAUUCACUGUCAGGCUCCCCGAAUGCAUUUUUCAACAGCUCCUUCAUUAGAGCUUUGGAUCUCAGCCGGAAUCAGUUCACAGGCAACCUUGAGUGGAUACAAUAUCUUUCUGGAAUCGAUCUACUGUUGUUAGGAAGAAAUAAGUUUGAGGGACAGAUCUCAUCAAAUCUGUGUCGUCUCCAAUACUUGAGCAUAAUUGACAUCUCUCAUAAUAGACUCUCGGGUUCUGUACCAUGGUGUAUUGGUGGCAUCCCAUUUGAAGACCAUGAACUUGAAGCUUAUACAUUUUAUUGGCCCAGAACCUCCGGUUACUUCUUUGGAGGGGGGUUUGGUAUGUUCGAUGAUAUGGACUUCUCAUAUAAUAGUCAUUAUGACCUGCAAGGCUUCACCUUCACCACUAAAGGGAACCCAUACACAUACGGACACAACUUCUUCAUGUCGAUGUCUGGCAUUGACUUGUCUGCAAACAUGCUAUCGGGCGAGAUUCCGAUGGAGAUGGGGAAUUUGAGCCGCAUCAAGUCUCUCAACUUGUCGAACAAUUUCUUUACUGGCUCUAUCCCUGCAACCUUCGCAAACUUGAGCGAGAUUGAGAGCUUAGACCUAUCAGAAAACAGGCUGAGUGGAUCAGUGCCAUGGCAGUUAACUCGGCUGUCAUCCCUAGCAGUGUUUUCUGUGGCAUACAACAAUUUAUCAGGGUGUCUACCAGCCAGCGGUCAGUUUAGCACAUUCGAUAUGGACAGUUACAAAGGGAACAACAACCUUAGAUCAUGCACUUCAAGUUCAGGCCCCAUGGCACCAAAUGGUGUUGCAGGAAGUGUGGCUGUUGAUUCUGACCCGAUACUUUACGUGGUCAGUGCCGUUUCAUUCGUCUUGGCAUUUUGGGCCACUGUCGCAUUCGUAUUUUGCCACGCACUUGGACGGCGUGUUAUACUCAAACUGUAAUACGCAAAGUGACGGAGGGCUAGUGAAUACUGGUGAAUGGCGACGAUUUACACAACGGAAAUAUUUGUAAACUAUGCUGUAAUAAUAUGUUUUCCUGUUCUGUUCUAAACUAUGCUAUCAUUUGUUGCUUUAUAGAAGCUUUGUCUCAGCAGGAAUAUUUCCAGUUUGUUCUUGUAUAUGAAUGUGAG